UCGUUUCUCGCUACUAUUUGUGUGCUACAUUUUUACUCAAAUACUGGAAUUAACUCGCUAGCAUUUGUAAUUGCCGAGGGUUCAAGCUGAUAAAGAUUAGAUAGAAUCGUCCAUUUUGUCAUCUAACCCUUAAGAGGAAGAAUAUAGUUCAUCCAAAAAUUUCUAAAAAUAACCUUGUUCACCUUCAGAAAGUCAUUAAAUCAGUUCAAGUUGCGGUUAUAAUUUUGGUUGUGUGACUUGGCCACAUAAUUUUAUGCAUUUGGAUGAUAGCCUUUGAAUCUCUUUAACAAUUACCCUAUGGAAUAAAAUCCAUAGUCAAAGAGGAAGACUCGCAUUUGAUUACAACAAUUGUUUUGUGAAGGAAGAGAUCUUAUUGAACAAAAGCUUUUGUUCUCACAAAACACAUUUUUCGGCCUCACAUAUUCCCAAACCGCAACGCAGCGUCAGUGUGAUUUUUAACUUUUACUCCAACAGCGUCGAUUACAUCAAGACGGGCAAAUGCCCUGUGUCAAUCAAUAACCAGAAAUAUGGGAGAAAUGUGAAAUUUGAUGUAUUAUUACAAACUGCUUUGUUUUCAAGAUAUGAAGAAAAAACCAAUUUCGGCACGAAUCGGGAUAUAUUCAACCAGAUCAGCUAGAUAUCACCUUGUGAAUCUGGUGGAAGUUUUUUAUGCAUAACAUCAUCAUUAACAUUACCCUGUAAAGGUCAGUAAUUACACCCUGAAUUCGCCGAAAGUACUUUCUGCGUGGGAGCCACAAAAUGACCAAGUAAGUUUUUAUUAUCAUUUUUGUUUUGAUUACAUACUAUGAACAACUGUUGGUAUCAUGGAGGUAUCGUCAAAGAAAUAAAGCAAAAGAAUACACCAAUUGAGUUCUUUGGCUUCUAUCUAUCUCUGCUACAUUAUUUACAUUUUUGUUUUCUGUUUUUUUUUUUUAUUUUUGUGAUCGGGUUUGAAAGUGAUACCCUGAAGAAGGUUUUGUUGAUUGAUGAAAGUCAUAAUCAGUUCGACUCAACUAUCUUUGGGAUCAUAAUAUUUUGAGUUGCUGUGUAAGAAGUUGAUAAGCAAUAAUAGUAACUGGUUCAAACAUAAACAGCUUUUGGAUUUAUAUUAUAAAAAAUUACGUUUCUUAUUCUAAAUUGUUUAUUUAGUUUUUGCAUGCAUAAUUGAUAGAUAUUAUUUUUUCCAUUGUUAGAACAAAUACUUAUAUUGAGCUCAUCGCAAUGCAAGUUACAUUUUUGGCGUUCGCAAAUGUAUACUUUCAUAAAUCUAAUUUACAAUUUAAUUUUAUUUUUAAUUUGAAACUCUAGUUAUGAUUAAGGUUAAGGAUUCUGUUUUUUUUUUUUUUUUUUUGUAAAAUCCUUUAAUAUGAAAAUAAAAUUAAUUAUGAAUUCUGAGUAGAUCACUUUUUUUUAACUUUUUGAUUUCCCCGUAUAAAGUUGCUUGCUUCAUGAGGUCCUGGGGGUCACUAAAAUGUCUUUUAUCUCCGUUUGGAUUAGUUAUUAAUGUGACCAUGGUUGGGAGGGCGCAAGAGCACAUCAACAGCUGUAGCUCUGGAUCAUUUGUAGUGUCGUCUUUCUCACUCAUCAGUUUGUCUCCUACCUUUUUACUU